UACAGAGGUCUCGAGCGUUAGGCGGAAUCACUGGGCCUAAAGCGUGUGUAGGUGGAUCGUUAAGUACCUUGUGAAAUCCCACGGCUUAACCGUGGAACUGCUUGGUAUACUGGCGGUCUUGAGCCACUUAGGGGCUACCGGAACAAAUGGUGGAGCGGUGAAAUGCGUAGAUAUCAUUUGGAACGCCAAUGGUGAAAACAGGUAGCUGGGAGUGUGCUGACACUGAGACACGAAAGCCAGGGGAGCAAACGGG
rnacentral:rRNA from 1 species